rnacentral:rRNA from 1 species
UACGAGUGGCUCAAGCGUUAUCCGGUUUUAUUGGGCGUAAAGGGUCCGCAGGUGGCCAGAUAAGUCCGGUGUUAAAUCCUGGUGCUCAACAUCAGGGCUGCAUUGGAAACUAUUUGGCUUGAGGCUGGGAGAGGCAUAUGGAAUUGCCGGUGUAGUAGUAAAAUGCGUUAAUAUCGGCAAGAACACCAAAGGCGAAGGCAUUAUGCUGGAACAGUUCUGACACUCAGGGACGAAAGCGUGGGGAGCGAAUGGG